rnacentral:rRNA from 1 species
UGCAAGUACGAGCUCUCGUACAGCGAAACUGCGAAUGGCUCAUUAAAUCAGUUAUGGUUCAUUUGAUCGUACACGUUACUUGGAUAACUGUGGUAAUUCUAGAGCUAAUACAUGCUAAAAGCGCCGACUUCGGGAGGCGCGCAUUUAUCAGACCGCCGGCUCGGGCGUGUUCGCGCGCGCCCGGUCCUCUGGUGACUCUGGAUAACUGAGCGGAUCGCACGGUCGUUGCACCGGCGACGAAUCAUUCAAGUGUCUGCCCUAUCAACUCGAGUCGGUACGGUCUCGGCCUACCGAGGUUCUUACGGGUGACGGGGAAUCAGGGUUCGGUUCCGGAGAGGGAGCCUGAGAAACGGCUACCACUUCCAAGGAAGGCAGCAGGCGCGCAAAU